GGCGGACGGGUGAGUAAUGCUUGGGAACAUGCCUUGAGGUGGGGGACAACAGUUGGAAACGACUGCUAAUACCGCAUAAUGUCUACGGACCAAAGGGGGCUUCGGCUCUCGCCUUUAGAUUGGCCCAAGUGGGAUUAGCUAGUUGGUGAGGUAAUGGCUCACCAAGGCGACGAUCCCUAGCUGGUUUGAGAGGAUGAUCAGCCACACUGGGACUGAGACACGGCCCAGACUCCUACGGGAGGCAGCAGUGGGGAAUAUUGCACAAUGGGCGCAAGCCCGAUGCAGCCAUGCCGCGUGUGUGAAGAAGGCCUUCGGGUUGUAAAGCACUUUCAGUCAGGAGGAAAGGUUAGUAGUUAAUACCUGCUAGCUGUGACGUUACUGACAGAAGAAGCACCGGCUAACUCCGUGCCAGCAGCCGCGGUAAUACGGAGGGUGCGAGCGUUAAUCGGAAUUACUGGGCGUAAAGCGUAC
rnacentral:rRNA from 1 species